GCGCAGCAGGCGAGAAAACUUUACAAUGUGCGAAAGCACGAUAAGGGAACUCUGAGUGCCUCCUAAGGAGGCUGUUCAGGUGUCUAAAAAGCACCUGAAGGAAGGGCUGGGUAAGACCGGUGCCAGCCGCCGCGGUAACACCGGCAGCCCAAGUGGUAGCCACGUUUAUUGGGUCUAAAGCGUCCGUAGCCGGCUGGGUAAGUUCCUUGGGAAAUUUGGCCG
rnacentral:rRNA from 1 species